GCCGUGGUGGUGAAAUUGGCAAACACGUACGCUUCAGGAGCGUAUGCCUUUAUGGCUUGAGAGUUCGAGUCUCUCCCACGGCA
rnacentral:tRNA from 1 species